rnacentral:lncRNA from 1 species
UCAAAUUAUUUCUUCCCAAUUUGCACUCAAAUAGAGAAUUUUUUUUCUGAUAAAUAUACUUACUAAUGUAGAAUUCUUUACUAUAACUUCCACAAUUUGUAAACACAUUUCAAAAACCUUUAUGGUUGGUAUACCACCAACAAAAUAAAAAAUAAUGAUGUAUUUUUGCAAGUGUAAUGUUUUGGAAAUUACAAUAUAAGAAUUAAUAAAGAUUUUGGAAGAGUCUUUGUUUCUUCUUAGGUCUUUUUUAGAAAUAAAUUAUUUUUUCACAUAGUAUUAGCAUUAAAUGCCAUCUAUAAUAUUUUGAUUGAUUAAAUGAACUUCCUAAAUUAAAUUAAAUUAAAUAACUAGAACACACUCUAUAAUAUCAUCUAGUUUAUUUUGAGACAAUAUCUAAUACACAUUUUAUAUAACUAAUAUGUUCAAAAACUAAUCCCAUUCAUAUUAUUAAUAUGUUUAAAACUAGGAGGUGCAUAUAUAAUACUACUAAAUCUUAAUUUUUUCCUCUUCAUAUCUUCAAAAAUUAAAAAUUGUAGACAUUGUAUGUCCGUUCAAUCAAUAUGGCAUUUGCACCUUAUUUCUUAUUUGUGACAACUUCUUUUCUACUUAAAAUCCAUUUGGACUAUAAUUAUAUUUGUGGCUCUUAUCACUAUUGGUCAAAAUUAGUCAAAAUUCACUACAAUACAUCUGUUUUGUUAUUAUUAUUUUAUCAAUUCACCACAACUUCUGAAAAUUUAAUAAUAUUUUUUCAAAAUAUUAAAGUCUGUAAUAACAUUAUUUUGUUAGUUUUAAUAUAUGAUGGAUUUUAUAUAUAUAUAUAUAUAUAUAUCUAAUAGUUAAUUUAAGGAAAUUCAAUAUUAUUAUAUUAAAAUAUAAUAUAAAUACAGUUAUUUAUAGAUAUUAAAUCAAUAUUAUUUUCUUACUGAAAUUAUAUAUUGUAUCAAGUUUUCAUUUCAAGUACAUUUUUGACCGAAAAAACAAUGUCAAUUUUUAGUUGCAAAAAUGUACAAGAGGUAAUAUAUUGUAUCAAAUUUUCAUUUCACAAUUUCAAAAAUGUACUUGAGAAACUCAAUCAAGAGGUAAUAUACAUGUAUCAAAUUUUCAUUUCACAAUUCAUCUAGUUAUACAAAAAAAGAUUAAAACUAGCAAAAAUAGCAUUAAAUCCCGAAAUGAACUCUACUUACUUUCAAAUUUUUUGCCUUAAUUUCACAACUGAAAUUUCCAUAAUUGUAAAAAAUGUUAUAAAAAUCACCAAGAUAUUGAACAUAACAUAUAAAUUAUACUAGAUUCAAAAUCACUAUGUUAUAAUUGGAAAUUCAACAAUAUUUGAAAAGUUUUAUUUCUUUAUCUUUUUAUUUCAUUUAUUUCUCAUGUUUUCAUACUACCUUUCAGGAUUCUACACUUGUCCCAUGCGAGCCAAGUAUUCUUCAGAAGU